AGCGAACGCUGGCGGCGUGCCUAACACAUGCAAGUCGAACGUGAAAAGGGAAACCUGAGUAAAGUGGCGUACGGGUGAGUAACGCGUAGGUAAUCUACCCCAGAAUCUGGAAUAACCUGCCGAAAGGCGGGCUAAUACUGGAUAGAGCGGGGGAACUCGUAAGAGAGUUAUUCGGGAAAGGGAGCCCGCAAGGGCCUUCGGUCUGGGACGAGCCUGCGUCUCAUUAGCUAGUUGGUAAGGUAACGGCUUACCAAGGCGAUGAUGAGUAGCUGGUCGGAGAGGAUGGUCAGCCAACCUGGGACUGAAACACGGUCCCGACUCCUUCGGGAGGCCGCAGUGGGGGAUCUUGCGCAAUGGACGCAAGUCUGACGCAGCCCCGCCGCGUGAGUGAAGAAGGCCUUCGGGUUGUAAAGCUCUGUCUGAUGGGACGAACAUCUUCAUAGUGAAUAGCUAUGAGGACUGACGGUACCAUCAAAGGAAGCACCGGCUAACUCCGUG
rnacentral:rRNA from 1 species